rnacentral:rRNA from 1 species
AUUGAACGCUGGCGGCAGGCUUAACACAUGCAAGUCGAGCGGGCGAGGUUGCUUCGGUAACUGAGCUAGCGGCGGACGGGUGAGUAAAGCUUAGGAAUCUGCCUAUUAGUGGGGGACAACAUUUCGAAAGGGAUGCUAAUACCGCAUACGUCCUACGGGAGAAAGCAGGGGAUCACUUGUGACCUUGCGCUAAUAGAUGAGCCUAAGUCGGAUUAUCUAGUUGGUGGGGUAAAGGCCUACCAAGGCGACGAUCUGUAGCGGGUCUGAGAGGAUGAUCCGCCACACUGGGACUGAGACACGGCCCAGACUCCUACGGGAGGCAGCAGUGGGGAAUAUUGGACAAUGGGGGGAACCCUGAUCCAGCCAUGCCGCGUGUGUGAAGAAGGCCUUUUGGUUGUAAAGCACUUUAAGUGGGGAGGAGGCUCUCUUGGUUAAUACCUGAGAAGAGUGGACGUUACCCACAGAAUAAGCACCGGCUAACUCUGUGCCAGCAGCCGCGGUAAUACAGAGGGUGCGAGCGUUAAUCGGAUUUACUGGGCGUAAAGCGCGCGUAGGUGGUUAAUUAAGUCAAAUGUGAAAUCCCCGAGCUUAACUUGGGAAUUGCAUUCGAUACUGGUUAGCUAGAGUAUGGGAGAGGAUGGUAGAAUUCCAGGUGUAGCGGUGAAAUGCGUAGAGAUCUGGAGGAAUACCGAUGGCGAAGGCAGCCAUCUGGCCUAAUACUGACACUGAGGUGCGAAAGCAUGGGGAGCAAACAGG